ensembl:rRNA 5S_rRNA 5S ribosomal RNA
GUCUAGGGUCAUACUACCCUGCAUGCACCUGAUCUGGUCUGAUCGCUGAAGUUAAGCAGUGUUCGACAUGAUUAGGACCUGGAUGGGAGACCGCCUGGGAAUAUUAGGUCCUAUAGGCU